rnacentral:lncRNA from 10 species
ACUCAAGCUCCAUGAGGAGAUGUUUCAUUGUCGAGAGCAGUCAUGAUGGCCUGCACUCCACACAAUGCAACAGAGUGAAAGAGCAGGUUCUGCUUCUUUGGUGUAGUCCUGAAGCUUCCUAAGAAACUUCACAUCAGGUGAUGGAUAGGAGCAACCCUGUAAAACCAGCCUUAGACUAUUUUUCAAACAGUAAGUAAUAAAGGUGACGUUUUGAUCUUUAUCUGCUUAAUUACUUCUGCUAUGAUUCUAUUGAUUCUAACAUUGAAGGAGCAGUAAAUUUAUAUGUAUUAUCCAACUAUAAAACAAUAA